CAAACGAACAGACCCAAAGGGGAAACCUUGAACAAGAACAAGAAAUCGCUGUAAAUGAAGAGAGGGAUUGGUUUCGCUGAACAAGGGAACAAGAAAUCGCCGUAAAUGAAGAGAGGGAUUGGUUUCUACUAGUGCCUACCAGCCACCCUAUGUAUCAAAGCCUGCAGCUAGGAGGAGGCUUGAGGCAGCUAGGAGGAGGCUUGAGGCGGCUGAGCUGCAGCUAGGAGGAGGCUAGAGGCGGCUGAGCCACCCUAUAUAUCGAAGAUGCACAGCCCUAACUGACGGUGGUUACGAAGGAUAACAGAUGGAUUAAGCUUUUGAAACCGAGGAAGAGCUAUGAAGCAUCCAUUAGAACCAUUUUGAUCGCUGUCCGGUUGCUUCAUUUUCUGAGGAGGGAGCCCGAGUCGUGUCGGAGGAGAGCCUUCGGGAUCACUUGGGGAAAAAAUUUACAGGCACUGCAACCGGCGAUUUAGACGUAGAGCAAGAUGCAGAACGAGGAGGGAACUGUCGUCGAUCUCUACGUCCCGAGAAAAUGUCUGAAGCCCGGGUGUUGGAGGAUUUGAGUUUGGCAGCUCCUGGAGUUUAAAUCAUCGAAGAUGACGCCAGCGAUUUUCCCCUCAUCACACUGGGCCCAUUUCAUGCUCGCUAUACAGUCGCCAUGAUGUGGUUGCAUAGGGAAGAUCUCUUUUCUUUUUUUUCCCUCUUAAUAAUGUUCCAUUAUGUAUUCAUACUUAUCACUCUUAUAUCAUACAUUUUAAUUGAUCUACUUACUUAUAAGGAAAAGAAAUAUGUUGAACUGCAUUCUUAUCAUGAGUUUGAUAAAAUAAGAAAGUCAUGUAUUUGAUACUCUAAUUACCUAACCAAAUAUCAUGUAUCAUGUAUGUAGCUCUGCACUUUGUAUCUCACGGUUGAGGUUUAAAAACAUUACUGUACACUUUGUAUUCUAUACAAAGUAGUAUGUAGCUGUACACCUUAUUAAAUGAAACUAUAUACUCCGUAUUGUAUACUUUGGCCACUGUUGUAUACUACAAAAUCAAUGGACAUGUCAAUUCCGGUUGAAAUACUUGAACACCGUCCGUGUGAAUAAAGUCACAGCUUGCCUCAACAUUAAUGAAGCAGGAUUCACCACUAAACAUUGAUGUUCAAGAAAUCAGCUUGUAGUUCUACAAACUGUUGAUCAUUGACCAUAUUUUCAUAAUACUUAAAAAUGUAUAAUACAUUUUCUGAAUCCAUAAUAUUCUCUUAGUGCACCAUUCAUGUUAUCCUCAGUUAGCAUAGCUUCCAUGUCCCAGUAAACUCUUUUUCUUCACAUAUUUUAACCAACCAGGCAUUGAAAACAUAUGAUUCCGGCCUGUAUCAGCUUCUCUUUUUCAUUGAACUAGAGAUGGUUUGAUGUUCUGAAUCAUUCAUCUCUCCACACAAAAAAGAAAGCUAUGAUUUUCAUGUCUCGUAAUUAACACCACCAUCAUUUUUCUUCUCCUUCUUCCAAACAAUUAAAUCAACAGACAACACAACUGACCCCCUUGCUCUUCUAUCAUUCAAAUCUCUCAUUUCUAAUAAUCCUCUUGGAGCCUUGGCAUCCUGGAACACCAGCAACAAUCCCAAUUUCUGCCAUUGGCAAGGUGUUAUUUGCGGCAACCGAAAUCACCCGAAAGAGUCAGUGCGUUAGACCGCAACUCUCUAGAGCUCACUGGUUCUAUUUCACCCUCUAUUUCCAAUCUCAGCUUCAUCACGAAACUUGACCUCUCUGCCAAUCAUUUUCAAGGCCUAAUACCACAAUCACUCGGUCGUCGUCUCCAAUAUUUGAAUCUGAGCUACAAUUCCCUC